UCCACGUAAUUUUUAUUUCUUUCGUAUCCAACCUCGUGAAUAAAGUUAAAUUUGAUAAUAAAUUCAUGUUGUUUCAAUUCCAACAAAUCUAACCUUCAGUAUUUCAGCAAAGUUAUAGCUGAAUAAAUAAUAAUCAAAGUUUUAAGGCAAUAAUCUACAGAAUCGUAACAUUUUCCUAGUAUCAUCAACUGAAAGUCCAGCCACUGGAGCCACGUGUAAAAUAUUUCUAUCAAUUUUAAUCAUGACAUCAAUCAAUCAUUUUGCCCGUCCGAUCACAAAAGUCGAUGCCGAAAACCUAACCGCAGGGGUGCUGAAGAGCAGAGACAGAACAGGCUCCGAUGGAGCUCACUUUCCUAAAGUGCUUAAUCGAGGGAGGGAAAGAAAUCAGCACACGAGGUGUCGGAAAAUAUCAGCUUUUAGAGGCUCCAACGUCAACAACGAGUAAGUUCGAACGUACUAAGAAACUAUGCCACACCUGCGACGCAGGAUUAUCGGUUAAAAGCUUGCCUGUGUUGAUCGAGGAAAACAGCUGUCC